ensembl:lncRNA
CAUGAUUUUCACUUAAAUGGAGGAUUCUCGAAUAGAAAAUGCGUGAUUUUUGCUUAAAUGGGGGAUUUGCGAAGAGAAAACGCGUGAUUUUCGAUUAAAUGGGGGAUGUGCGAAGAGAAAACGCGUGAUUUUUGGGUUAAAUCGGGGAUUUGCGAAGAGAAAAUGCGUGAUUUUUGCUUAAAUGGGGGAUUUGCGAAGAGAAAACGCGUGAUUUUCGGGUUAAAUGGGGGAUUCUCGAAGAGAAAACGCGUGAUUUUUGGGUUAAAUGGGGGAUUUGCAAAGAGAAAACGCGUGAUUUUCGCUUAAAUGGGGGAUUUGCGAAGAGAAAACGCGUGAUUUUCGCUUAAAUGGGGGAUUCUCAAAGAGAAAACGCGUGAUUUUCGGGUUAAAUCUAGGAUUUGCAACGAGAAAACGCGUGAUUUUUGCUUAAAUGGGGGAUUUGCAAAGAGAAAACGCGUGAUUUUUGGUUAAAUGGGGGAUUCUCGAAGAGAAAACGCGUGAUUUUUGCAUAAAUGGGGGAUUUGCGAAGAGAAAACGCGUGGUUUUCGGGUUAAAUGGGGGAUUUGCGAAGAGAAAACGCGUGAUUUUUGCUUAAAUGGGGGAUUUGUGAAGAGAAAACGCGUGAUUUUCGCUUAAAUGGGGGAUUUGCGAAGAGAAAACGCGUGAUUUUCGCUUAAAUGGGGGAUUUGCGAAGAGAAAACGCGUGAUUUUCGGUUAAAUGGGGGAUUUGCGAAGAGAAAACACGUGAUUUUUGCUUAAAUGGGGGAUUUGCGAAGAGAAAACGCGUGAUUUUUGCUUAAAUGGGGGAUUUGCGACGAGAAAACGCGUGAUUUUUGCUUAAAUGGGGGAUUUGCGAAGAGAAAACGCGUGAUUUUCGGGUUAAAUGGGGGAUUUGCAAAGAGAAAACGCUUGAUUUUCGGGUUAAAUGGGGGAUUUGCGAAGAGAAAACGCGUGAUUUUCGGGUUAAAUGGGGGAUUUGCGAAGAGAAAACGCGUGAUGUUCUCUUAAAUGGGGGAUUUGCGAAGAGAAAACGCGUGAUUUUCGCUUAAAUGGGGGAUUUGCGAAGAGAAAACGCGUGAUUUUUCGCUUAAAUGGGGGAUUUGCGAAGAGAAAACGCGUGAUUUUCGGGUUAAAUGGGGGAUUUGCGAAGAGAAAACGCGUGAUUUUCGCUUAAAUGGGAGAUUUGCAAAGAGAAAAUGCGUGAUUUUCCCUUAAAUGGAAAAUUCUCGAAGAGAAAACGCGUGAUUUUUGCUUAAAUGGGGGAUUUGCGAAGAGAAAAUGCGUGAUUUUUAAGUUAAAGUGGGGAUUCUAAAGAGGAAACGCGUGAUUUUCGGGUUAAAUGGGGGAUUUGCGAAGAGAAAACGCGUGAUUUUCGCUUAAAUGGGGGAUUCUCGAAGAGAAAACGCAUGAUUUUUGGGUUAAAUGGGGGAUUCUCGAAGAGAAAACGCGUUAUUUUCGGCUUAAAUGGGGGAUUUGCGAAGAGAAAACGCAUGAUUUUCGCUUAAAUGGGGGAUUUGCGAAGAGAAAACGCGUGAUUUUCGGUUAAAUGGGGGAUUUGCGAAGAGAAAAUGCGUGAUUUUUGCUUAAAUGGGGGAUUUGCGAAGAGAAAACGCGUGUUUUUCGGGUUCAAUGGGGGAUUCUCGAAGAGAAAACGCGUGAUUUUCGGGUUAAAUGGGGGAUUUGCGAAGAGAAAACGCUUGAUUUUCACUUAAAUGGGGGAUUCUCGAAGAGAAAACGCGUGAUUUUUGCUUAAAUGGGGGAUUUGCGAAGAGAAAACGCGUGAUUUUUGCUUAAAUGGGGGAUUUGUGAAGAGAAAACGCGUGAUUUUCGCUUAAAUGGGGGAUUUGCGAAGAGAAAACGCGUGAUUUUCGGGUUAAAUGGGGGAUUUGCAAAGAGAAAACGCUUGAUUUUCAAGUUAAAUGGGGGAUUUACGAAGAGAAAACGCGUGAUUUUCGCUUAAAUGGGGGAUUCUCGAAGAGAAAACACGUGAUUUUUGCUUAAAUGGGGAAUUUGCAAAGAGAAAACGCGUGAUUUUCGGUUAAAUGGGGGAUUCUCGAAGAGAAAAUGCGUGAUUUUUGGCUUAAAUGGGGGAUUUGCGAACAGAAAACGCGUGGUUUUCGGGUUAAAUGGGGGAUUUGUGAAGAGAAAACGCGUGAUUUUCGGGUUAAAUGGGGAUUUGCGAAGAGAAAACGCGUGAUUUUCGGGUUAAAUGGGGGAUUUGCGAAGAGAAAACGCGUGAUUUUCGGGUUAAAUGGGGGAUUUGCGAAGAGAAAACGCGUGAUUUUCGCUUAAAUGGGGGAUUUGCGAAGAGAAAACGCGUGAUUUUCGGGUUAAAUGGGGGAUUUGCGAAGAGAAAAUGCGUGAUUUUUGGGUUAAAUGGGGGAUUUGCAAAGAGAAAACACGUGAUUUUCGGGUUAAAUGGGGGAUUCUCAAAGAGAAAACGCGUGAUUUUCGGUUAAAUGGGGGAUUUGCGAAGAGAAAACGCGUGAUUUUCGCUUAAAUGGGGGAUUUGCGAAGAGAAAACGCGUGAUUUUUGGGUUAAAUGGGGGAUUUGCAAAGAGAAAACGCGUGAUUUUUGGGUUAAAUGGGGGAUUUGCGAAGAGAAAACGCGUGAUUUUCGCUUAAAUGGGGGAUUCUCAAAGAGAAAACGCGUGAUUUUCGGGUUCAAUGCGGGAUUCUCGAAGAGAAAACGCGUGAUUUUCGCUUAAAUGGGGGAUUUGCGAAGAGAAUACGCGUGAUUUUCGGGUUAAAUGGGGGAUUCUCGAAGAGAAAACGCGUGAUUUUCGCUUAAAUCGGGGAUUUGCGAAGAGAAAACACGUGAUUUUCGGGUUAAAUGGGGGAUUUGCGAAGAGAAAACGCGUGAUUUUUGCUUAAAUGGGGGAUUUGCGAAGAGAAAACGCGUGAUUUUCGCUUAAAUGGGGGAUUUGCGAAGAGAAAACGUGUGAUUUUCGCUUAAAUGGGGGAUUCUCGAGGAGAAAAUGCGUGAUUUUUGGUUAAAUGGGGGAUUUGCGAAGAGAAAACGCGUUAUUUUCGGGUUAAAUGGGGGAUUUGCGAAGAGAAAACGCGUGAUUUUUGCAUAAAUGGGGGAUUUGCGAAGAGAAAACACGUGGUUUUCGGGUUAAAUGGGGGAUUUGCGAAGAGAAAACGCGUGGUUUUUGCUUAAAUGGGGGAUUUGCGAAGAGAAAACGCGUGAUUUUCGCUUAAAUGGGGGAUUCUCCAAGAGAAAACGCGUGAUUUUCGCUUAAAUGGGGGAUUUGCAAAGAGAAAACGUGUGAUUUUCGCUUAAAUGGGAAAUUUGCGAAGAGAAAACGCGUGAUUUUCGCUUAAAUGGGGGAUUUGCGAAGAGAAAACGCGUGAUUUUCGGGUUAAAAGGGGGAUUUUCAAAGAGAAAACGCGUGAUUUUCGGGUUAAAUGGGGGAUUUGCGAAGAGAAAACGCGUGAUUUUUGCUUAAAUGGGGGAUUUGCGAAGAGAAAACGCGUGAUUUUCGCUUAAAUGGGGGAUUCUCAAAGAGAAAACGCGUGAUUUUCGGGUUAAAUGGGGGAUUUGCGAAGAGAAAACACGUGAUUUUUGCUUAAAUGGGGGAUUUGCGAAGAGAAAACGCGUGAUUUUCGGGUUAAAUGGGGGAUUUGCGAAGAGAAAACGCGUGAUUUUUGCUUAAAUGGGGGAUUUGCGAAGAGAAAACGCGUGAUUUUUGGGUUAAAUGGGGGAUUUGCGAAGAGAAAACGCGUGAUUUUCGGGUUAAAUGGGGGAUUUGCAAAGAGAAAACGCGUGAUUUUCGGGUUAAAUGGGGGAUUUGCGAAGAGAAUACGCGUGAUUUUCGCUUAAAUGGGGGAUUCUCGAAGAGAAAACGUGUGAUUUUUGCUUAAAUGGGGGAUUUGCGAAGAGAAAACGCGUGAUUUUCGGGUUAAAUGGGGGACUCUCGAAGAGAAAACGCGUGAUUUUCGCUUAAAUGGGGGAUUUGCGAAGAGAAAACGCGUGAUUUUCGCUUAAAUGGGGGAUUUGCGAAGAGAAAACGCGUGAUUUUUGGGUUAAAAUGGGGGAUUCUCGAAGAGAAAACACGUGAUUUUUGGUUAAAUGGGGGAUUUGCAAAGAGAAAACGCUUGAUUUUUGCUCAAAUGGGGGAUUUGCGAAGAGAAAACGCGUGAUUUUCGGGAUAAAUGGGGGAUUUGCAAAGAGAAAACGCGUGAUUUUCCGGUUAAAUGGGGGAUUUGCGAAGAGAAAACGCGUGAUUUUCGGGUUAAAUGGGGGAUUUGCGAAGAGAAAACGCUUGAUUUUCACUUAAAUGGGGGAUUCUCGAAGAGAAAACGCGUGAUUUUUGCUUAAAUGGGGGAUUUGCGAAGAGAAAACGCGUGAUUUUCGGUUAAAUGGGGGAUUUGCGAAGAGAAAACGCGUGAUUUUCGCUUAAAUGGGGGAUUUGCGAAGAGAAAACGUGUGAUUUUCGCUUAAAUGGGGGAUUCUCGAGGAGAAAAUGCGUGAUUUUUGGUUAAAAUGGGGAUUUGCGAAGAGAAAACGCGUGAUUUUCGGGUUAAAUGGGGGAUUUGCGAAGAGAAAACGCGUGAUUUUUGCAUAAAUGGGGGAUUUGCGAAGAGAAAACACGUGAUUUUCGGGUUAAAUGGGGGAUUUGCGAAGAGAAAACGCGUGGAUUUUUGCUUAAAUGGGGGAUUUGCAACGAGAAAACGCGUGAUUUUCGCUUAAAUGGGGGAUUCUCCGAAGAGAAAACGCGUGAUUUUCGCUUAAAUGGGGGAUUUGCAAAGAGAAAACGUGUGAUUUUCGCUUAAAUGGGGAAUUUGCGAAGAGAAAACGCGUGAUUUUCGCUUAAAUGGGGGAUUUGCGAAGAGAAAACGCGUGAUUUUCGGGUUAAAAUGGGGGAUUUUCAAAGAGAAAACGCGUGAUUUUCGGGUUAAAUGGGGGAUUUGCGAAGAGAAAACGCGUGAUUUUUGCUUAAAUGGGGGAUUUGCGAAGAGAAAACGCGUGAUUUUCGCUUAAAUGGGGGAUUCUCAAAGAGAAAACGCGUGAUUUUCGGGUUAAAUGGGGGAUUUGCGAAGAGAAAACACGUGAUUUUUGCUUAAAUGGGGGAUUUGCGAAGAGAAAACGCGUGAUUUUCGGGUUAAAUGGGGGAUUUGCGAAGAGAAAACGCGUGAUUUUUGCUUAAAUGGGGGAUUUGCGAAGAGAAAACGCGUGAUUUUUGGGUUAAAUGGGGGAUUUGCGAAGAGAAAACGCGUGAUUUUCGGGUUAAAUGGGGGAUUUGCAAAGAGAAAACGCGUGAUUUUCGGUUAAAUGGGGGAUUUGCGAAGAGAAAACGCGUGAUUUUCGCUUAAAUGGGGGAUUUGCGAAGAGAAAACGCGUGAUUUUCGGCUUAAAUGGGGGAUUCUCGAAGAGAAAACGCGUGAUUUUCGGCUUAAAUGGGGGAUUCUCGAAGAGAAAACGCGUGAUUUUCGGUUAAAUGGGGGAUUCUCGAAGAGAAAACGCGUGAUUUUCGCUUAAAUGGGGGAUUUGCGAAGAGAAAACGCGUGAUUUUCGCUUAAAUGGGGGAUUCUCGAAGAGAAAACGCGUGAUUUUUGCUUAAAUGGGGGAUUUGCGAAGAGAAAACGCGUGAUUUUCGGCUUAAAUGGGGGAUUCUCGAAGAGAAAACGCGUGAUUUUCGCUUAAAUGGGGGAUUUGCGAAGAGAAAACGCGUGAUUUUCGCUUAAAUGGGGGAUUUGCGAAGAGAAAACGCGUGAUUUUCGGCUUAAAUGGGGGAUUCUCGAAGAGAAAACACGUGAUUUUUGGUUAAAUGGGGGAUUUGCAAAGAGAAAACGCUUGAUUUUUGCUCAAAUGGGGGAUUUGCGAAGAGAAAACGCGUGAUUUUCGGGAUAAAUGGGGGAUUUGCAAAGAGAAAACGCGUGAUUUUCCGGUUAAAUGGGGGAUUUGCGAAGAGAAAACGCGUGAUUUUUGGGUUAAAAUGGGGGAUUCUCGAAGAGAAAACGCGUGAUUUUUGGUUAAAUGGGGGAUUCUCGAAGAGAAAACGCGUGAUUUUUGCUUAAAUGGGGGAUUUGCGAAGAGAAAACGCGUGAUUUUCGGGUUAAAUGGGGGAUUUUCAAAGAGAAAACGCGUGAUUUUCGUUUAAAUGGGGGAUUUGCGAAGAGAAAGCGCGUGAUUUUCGGGUUAAAUGGGGGAUUUGCGAAGAGAAAACGCAUUAUUUUCGGGUUAAAUGGGGGAUUUGCGAAGAGAAAACGCGAGAUUUUCGCUUAAAUGGGGGAUGUGCGAAGAGAAAACGCGAGAUUUUCGCUUAAAUGGGGAUGUGCGAAGAGAAAACGUGUGAUUUUCGCUUAAAUGGGGGAUUCUCGUGGAGAAAAUGCAUGAUUUUCGCUUAAAUGGGGGAUUUGCGAUGAGAAAACGCGUGGUUUUCGCUUAAAUGCGGGAUUCGCGAAGAGAAAACGCGUGAUUUUUGCUUAAAUGGGGGAUUUGCGAAGAGAAAACGCGUGGUUUUCGGGUUAAAUGGGGGAUUUCUGAAGAGAAAACGCGUGAUUUUCGGGUUAAAUGGGGGAUUCUCGAAGAGAAAACACGUGAUUUUUAGUUAAAUGGGGUAUUAGCGAAGAGAAAAACUGCGUGAUUUUCGCUUAAAUGGGGGAUUUGCGAAGAGAAAAUACGUGAUUUUCGGUUAAAUGGGGAAUUUGUGAAGAGAAACGCGUGAUUUUCGCUUAAAUGGGGGAUUUGCGAAGAGAAAACGUGUGAUUUUCGCUUAAAUGGGGAUUCUCGAGGAGAAAAUGCGUGAUUUUUGGUUAAAAUGGGGAUUUGCGAAGAGAAAACGCGUUAUUUUCGGGUUAAAUGGGGGAUUCUCGAAGAGAAAACGCGUGAUUUUUGCUUAAAUGGGGGAUUUGCGAAGAGAAAACGCGUGAUUUUCGGGUUAAAUGGGGGAUUUGCGAAGAGAAAACGCGUGAUUUUCGGGUUAAAUGGGGGAUUUGCGAAGAGAAAACGCGUGGUUUUUGCUUAAAUGGGGGAUUUGCGAAGAGAAAACGCGUGAUUUUCGGGUUAAAUCGGGGAUUUGCGAAGAGAAAACGCGUGAUUUUCGGGUUAAAUGGGGGAUUUGCGAAGAGAAAACGCGUGAUUUUCGGUUAAAUGGGGGAUUUGCGAAGAGAAAACGCGUGAUUUUCGGUUAAAUGGGGGAUUUGCGAAGAGAAAACGCGUGGUUUUCCGGUUAAAUGGGGGAUUUGCGAAGAGAAAACGCGUGGUUUUCGGGUUAAAUGGGGGAUUUGCGAAGAGAAAACGCGUGAUUUUCGGGUUAAAUGGGGAUUUGCGAAGAGAAAACGCGUGAUUUUCGGGUUAAAUGGGGGAUUUGCGAAGAGAAAACGCGUGAUUUUCGGGUUAAAUGGGGGAUUUGCAAAGAGAAAACGCGUGAUUUUCCGGUUAAAUGGGGGAUUUGCGAAGAGAAAACGCGUGAUUUUCGCUUAAAUGGGGGAUUUGCGAAGAGAAAACGCGUGAUUUUCGGGUUAAAUGGGGGAUUUGCGAAGAGAAAAUGCGUGAUUUUUGGGUUAAAUGGGGGAUUUGCAAAGAGAAAACGCGUGAUUUUCGGGUUAAAUGGGGGAUUCUCAAAGAGAAAACGCGUGAUUUUCGCUUAAAUGGGGGAUUUGCGAAGAGAAAACGCGUGAUUUUCGCUUAAAUGGGGGAUUCUCGAAGAGAAAACGCGUGAUUUUUGGGUUAAAUGGGGGAUUUGCAAAGAGAAAACGCGUGAUUUUCGGGUUAAAUGGGGGAUUUGCGAAGAGAAAACGCGUGAUUUUCGCUUAAAUGGGGGAUUCUCAAAGAGGAAAACGCGUGAUUUUCGGCUUAAAUGGGGGAUUCUCGAAGAGAAAACGCGUGAUUUUCGCUUAAAUGGGGGAUUUGCGAAGAGAAAACGCGUGAUUUUCGGCUUAAAUGGGGGAUUCUCGAAGAGAAAACGCGUGAUUUUCGCUUAAAUCGGGGAUUUGCGAAGAGAAAACAGCGUGAUUUUCGGGUUAAAUGGGGGAUUUGCGAAGAGAAAACGCGUGAUUUUCGCUUAAAUGGGGGAUUUGCGAAGAGAAAACGCGUGAUUUUUGCUUAAAUGGGGGAUUGCGAAGAGAAAACGCGUGAUUUUCGCUUAAAUGGGGGAUUCUCGAAGAGAAAACGCGUGAUUUUCGCUUAAAUGGGGGAUUUGCGAAGAGAAAACGCGUGAUUUUCGGCUUAAAUGGGGGAUUCUCGAAGAGAAAACGCGUGAUUUUCGCUUAAAUGGGGGAUUUGCGAAGAGAAAACGCGUGAUUUUCGGCUUAAAUGGGGGAUUCUCGAAGAGAAAACGCGUGAUUUUCGCUUAAAUGGGGGAUUUGCGAAGAGAAAACGCGUGAUUUUCGCUUAAAUGGGGGAUUCUCGAAGAGAAAACGCGUGAUUUUCGCUUAAAUGGGGGAUUUGCGAAGAGAAAACGCGUGAUUUUCGCUUAAAUGGGGGAUUUGCGAAGAGAAAACGCGUGAUUUUCGCUUAAAUGGGGGAUUCUCGAAGAGAAAACGCGUGAUUUUCGGCUUAAAUGGGGGAUUUGCAAAGAGAAAACGCGUGAUUUUCGGUUAAAUGGGGGAUUUGCGAAGAGAAAACGCGUGAUUUUUGCUUAAAUGGGAGAUUUGCGAAGAGAAAACGCGUGAUUUUCGGUUAAAUCGGGGGAUUUGCUGAAGAGAAAACACGUGAUUUUCGGGUUAAAUGGGGGAUUUGCAAAGAGAAAACGCGUGAUUUUCGCUUAAAUGGGGGAUUUGCGAAGAGAAAACGCGUGAUUUUUGGUUAAAUGGGGGAUUUGCGAAGAGAAAAUGCGUGAUUUUAAGUUAAAGUGGGGAUUCUAAAGAGGAAACGCGUGAUUUUCGGGUUAAAUGGGGGAUUUGCGAAGAGAAAACGCGUGAUUUUCGCUUAAAUGGGGGAUUUGCGAAGAGAAAAUACCUGAUUUUCGGGUUAAAUGGGGGAUUCUCAAAGAGAAAACGCGUGAUUUUCGGGUUAAAUGGGGGAUUUGCGAAGAGAAAACGCGUGAUUUUUGGUUAAAUGGGGGAUUUGCGAAGAGAAAACACGUGAUUUUUGCUUAAAUGGGGGAUUUGCGAAGAGAAAACGCGUGAUUUUCACUUAAAUGGGGGAUUUGCGAAGAGAAAACGCGUGAUUUUCGGGUUAAAUGGGGGAUUUGCGAAGAGAAAACUAUGUGAUUUUUGGUUAAAUGGGGGAUUUGCGAAGAGAAAACGCGUGAUUUUCGGCUUAAAUGGGGGAUUUGUGAAGAGAAAACGCGUGAUUUUCGGGUUAAAUGGGGGAUUUGCGAAGAGAAAACGCGUGAUUUUUGCUUAAAUGGGGGAUUUGCGAAGAGAAAACGCGUGAUUUUCGGGUUAACUGGGGGAUUUGCGAAGAGAAAACGCGUGAUUUUCGCUUAAAUGGGGGAUUUGCGAAGAGAAAACGCGGGAUUUUCGCUUAAAUGGGGGAUUUGCGAAGAGAAAAAUGCGUGAUUUUCACUUAAAUGGGGGAUUUGCGAAGAGAAAACGCGUGAUUUUCAGUUAAAUGGGGGAUGUGCGAAGAGAAAACGCGUGAUUUUCAGUUAAAUGGGGGAUGUGCGAAGAGAAAAUGCGUGAUUUUCCCUUAAAUGGGGGAUUCUCGAAGAGAAAACGCGUGAUUUUCGCUUAAAUGGAAGGAUUAUGCGAAGAGAAAACGCGUGAUUUUCGCUUAAAUGGGGGAUUUGCGAAGAGAAAACGUGUGAUUUUCGGGUUAAAUGGGGGAUUUGCGAAGAGAAAACGCGUGAUUUUCGCUUAAAUGGGGGAUUUGCGAAGAGAAAACGCGUGAUUUUUGCUUAAAUGGGGGAUUUGCGAAGAGAAAACGCGUGAUUUUUGGGUUAAAUGGGGGAUUUGCGAAGAGAAAACGCGUGAUUUUCGGGUUAAAUGGGGGAUUCUCGAAGAGAAAACGCAUGAUUUUUGCUUAAAUGGGGGAUUUGUGAAGAGAAAAUGCGUGACUUUUAAGUUAAAUGGGGGAUUCUCGAAGGAGAAAACGCGUGAUUUUUGCUUAAAUGGGGGAUUUGCGAAGAGAAAACGCGUGAUUUUCGCUUAAAUGGGGGAUUUGUGAAGAGAAAACGCGUGAUUUUCGGGUUAAAUGGGGGAUUUGCGAAGAGAAAACGCGUGAUUUUUGCUUAAAUGGGGGAUUUGCGAAGAGAAAACGCGUGAUUUUCGGGUUAACUGGGGGAUUUGCGAAGAGAAAACGCGUGAUUUUCGCUUAAAUGGGGGAUUUGCGAAGAGAAAACGCGGGAUUUUCGCUUAAAUGGGGGAUUCUGCGAAGAGAAAACGCGUGAUUUUCGCUUAAAUGGGGGAUUUGCGAAGAGAAAACGCGUGAUUUUCGCUUAAAUGGGGGAUUCUGCGAAGAGAAAACGCGUGAUUUUCGCUUAAAUGGGGAUUUGCGAAGAGAAAACGCGUGAUUUUCGCUUAAAUGGGGGAUUCUCGAAGAG